AACGAACGCUGGCGGCAUGCCUAACACAUGCAAGUCGAACGAGGCCUUCGGGUCUAGUGGCGCACGGGUGCGUAACGCGUGGGAACCUGCCCUUAGGUUCGGAAUAACUCCCCGAAAGGGGUGCUAAUACCGGAUAAUGUUUUCGGACCAAAGAUUUAUCGCCUUUGGAUGGGCCCGCGUUGGAUUAGCUAGUUGGUAGGGUAAAAGCCUACCAAGGCGACGAUCCAUAGCUGGUCUGAGAGGAUGAUCAGCCACACUGGGACUGAGACACGGCCCAGACUCCUACGGGAGGCAGCAGUGGGGAAUAUUGGACAAUGGGCGAAAGCCUGAUCCAGCAAUGCCGCGUGAGUGAUGAAGGCCUUAGGGUUGUAAAGCUCUUUUACCCGGGAUGAUAAUGACAGUACCGGGAGAAUAAGCUCCGGCUAACUCCGUG
rnacentral:rRNA from 1 species